GCAACCUCGCAGUGUCGCCGGCUGCAGUUAUACUUUUUCCUUCUUUUUCCUUCUUUUUUUUUUUUUUUCCUAUUUUUUUUUUUUUUUUAAACCACCAAACUGGAACGCCAUCCAACUCGCUGCACAGAAGUACUCAGUAAAUUGUUUAUGUCGUGCCAAUACAGGACAGAUUGAAGAAGGAAGCAAGACUUGAACUGGGCUUUUCUCCUACUGAUCACGGGGAGUAAAGUCAUCUCUUAUAUUCCAGUCGCCAAGGAGAGAGAGAGAAAAAAAUCAAGCAACAACCAACCCACCCCGUAUCUGACAUUUCCCUCAGUUUUAACCCCUUUUGGUUAGGAGCUGGUUUUGCCCAAAUUUGUUUUAAUGUUUGGGAUUCAGGAAAAUAUACCGAGAGGUGGGACGACCAUGAAAGAAGAACCGCUGGGCAGUGGGAUGAAUCCCGUCCGAUCGUGGAUGCAUACUGCUGGGGUAGUGGAUGCUAACACGGCCGCCCAAAGCGGCGUGGGGCUGGCUCGGGCACAUUUCGAGAAACAGCCGCCUUCCAAUCUCAGAAAAUCCAAUUUUUUCCACUUCGUCUUAGCUCUGUACGACAGGCAGGGGCAGCCAGUGGAGAUUGAGAGAACAGCUUUUGUGGACUUUGUGGAAAAAGAGAAAGAGCCAAACAAUGAAAAAACUAACAAUGGGAUUCAUUAUAAACUUCAGUUAUUGUAUAGCAAUGGAGUUAGGACAGAGCAGGACCUGUAUGUUCGUCUAAUAGACUCAAUGACCAAACAGGCCAUCGUCUACGAAGGGCAAGACAAGAACCCCGAGAUGUGCCGAGUCCUCCUGACACACGAGAUCAUGUGCAGCCGAUGCUGUGACAAGAAAAGUUGUGGCAACAGAAAUGAAACACCCUCAGACCCCGUUAUCAUUGACAGAUUCUUUCUAAAGUUUUUCCUCAAGUGCAAUCAGAACUGUUUGAAGAAUGCAGGCAACCCGCGAGACAUGCGAAGAUUCCAGGUUGUUGUAUCAACAACAGUCAAUGUGGAUGGCCAUGUGCUGGCUGUCUCAGACAACAUGUUUGUACACAACAAUUCCAAACACGGGAGGCGGGCUCGCCGCCUUGACCCCUCAGAAGGUACGGCCCCUUCUUAUCUGGAAAAUGCAGCUACUCCGUGCAUAAAGGCCAUCAGUCCUAGUGAAGGCUGGACUACUGGUGGGGCUACUGUCAUCAUAAUCGGAGACAACUUCUUUGAUGGCUUACAAGUCGUAUUUGGAACUAUGUUGGUCUGGAGUGAGCUGAUAACACCCCACGCCAUCAGAGUUCAAACACCACCACGGCACAUUCCAGGAGUUGUUGAAGUAACUCUUUCCUACAAAUCCAAACAGUUCUGCAAAGGUGCUCCCGGCCGAUUUGUCUACACUGCACUUAAUGAACCAACCAUAGAUUAUGGCUUUCAGAGGUUGCAGAAAGUUAUUCCACGACAUCCAGGUGAUCCCGAAAGGUUACCAAAGGAAGUAUUACUUAAGAGAGCAGCAGACCUUGUUGAAGCCCUGUAUGGGAUGCCCCAUAACAACCAGGAAAUAAUACUGAAACGAGCAGCUGACAUUGCUGAAGCGUUAUAUAGUGUGCCACGCAAUCACAACCAGAUCCCCACUCUAGCCAACACUCCUGCUCACACUGGCAUGAUGGGAGUCAACUCCUUCAGCAGCCAGCUCGCCGUUAAUGUUUCCGAAACAUCACAAGCGAACGACCAAGUAGGUUACAGUCGCAACACAAGCAGUGUUUCCCCGCGAGGAUAUGUUCCCAGCAGUACUCCUCAGCAGUCCAAUUACAACACAGUCAGCAAUAGCAUGAAUGGAUAUGGCAAUGCCGGCAUGCCCAAUCUAGGUGUACCAGGUUCCCCUGGAUUUCUUAAUGGCUCCUCAGCUAACUCUCCUUAUGGCAUAGUGCCGUCAAGCCCUACCAUGGCAGCCUCUUCGGUCACCCUCCCUUCAAACUGUAGCAGUACACACGGCAUUUUCUCAUUCUCACCUGCCAAUGUCAUCUCUGCAGUGAAACAAAAGAGCGCCUUUGCUCCUGUUGUCAGGCCCCAAGCCUCUCCUCCACCAUCUUGCACCAGUGCAAAUGGAAAUGGACUUCAAGUCCACAGUGCCAUGUCUGCAUGACUUGGGGACAAGAUACUUGUUUUGGUGCUUUUGGCACAUUGCAUCACAAAUCAGGCUGAACUGCCCCAAGGCUGCCUUGUUUCCUGGAUGCCAUUUCGCAGGAUGGUUCCUGUUGGCUUUAUGUUUCCGUUGAGUGAGAAGUCAAGGCCGUUACAGUGGGCCAGCAAACUGAGCAAUGAGAUCUACAAGCAACCACUGUUAUUCUCUUCUGCAAGAGAAAGGAGCCGGAUCCCAGCAAAAGGCUGAGAUGGAGCACUCUCCGUGGCUGAGCGCAGGAGCAUCCGGAGCAGCACGUUGCCGAAGGGUGAGUGGGGCUGUACGUACAACCAGGCAGUUCGGUGUGAUGCAGGACCACAAAAAGAUGAUGUGUUUUGCUUAAUUGGUUAAUGGAUUCAAACCCCUUCUGCUGGGGUCCACGCGUGUCCCAUCUGCCAUCUCCUCCUCUGGCACAUCGAUCCGGACAAUGCCGGGCUCAGAAAAAAAGUCAAAAAAAAAAAAAAGAGGGAAAGAGAAGUAAGGAGGAGUUCCAACGUUCGCUGCCUCCUCCCUGUUUGCGGGGUCUGGGGCUGCUUCUGCACACAGACAGUGCCAUGUCAACAGCGAGGCGAGGGUGACAUUUCCCUCUCUCUCAAUUACAUGGGAGCUGUUCACCGCUGGUAUAAAACACACACUGCGCUCUUUCAAGAUUCAUUGUCCUGAGGUCAGCUGGAACUCAUUGUCCUUGUUGCCUUGGAACAAGACAAAACUGACAUCUGUAAGAUUUGCUGUUAAAUAAUCCAAACCAGGAGUGGGACGGAGCCACACAGAGGAAUGGAAACGUUCAGGCGCCAUGGUAGAAAAUCAGUAAUUUAGAUACAAAGCACUGAUACCCGCCAGCCUGGUGCGCCCUUAGUUUGCUAUUGAUUGCUUUUCCUAACACUUAACUUCAUCCUUUAAAUACUGAUGUAUACUGGAAGUUUCAAAAUCGCUGUUUGUCUGCUCAUCUUUCCCCAGUAUAAAUAAAUUAAAUGUUAAAUGGAAAUAAUCUUUGGAUUUCCAGUUAUCUUUCUUCGGGUUUGCCUCCCGGUUUAGUGCUGCCACCGGUACUUCUUUCCCACUAAAGUGAUGUACGUACCAAACAAAACCGAGCCGUAAAACCAUUUUUAAAAACUACACCUCGAAUUUGUUGGGCACUCGAGGCAGUACAUUAAAAACAAUUUGAACAAGAAAAAUAUAUGGGAUGAAGGAAAGCUUACACAUUUCCCAGCCAGAGCCAACCCAACAGGCUCCCCUCCGGAGUCCUGCUCGCAGGUGGAAAAGCUGCUCGGA